AUUUGCCUGCCGAGAUGGAAGUUGGAGUAGGGGAGUUUUUCCAGGAGGUGAAGAAAGGCUUUAGGAUUGAUGAGAAGAGCCAUGGAUCUGAGCUGCAUGGAGAUACAAGUACAUGCAAUAGUAGGUACUACUAAUCCCCCAAAUAUUUUAGAAGACACUUGAAGUAAUAUAAAGAGACUACUUGAGAGCAGCAACAACACCUACAGAGCUCUCAGGAUGACUGAAGAACUUCUUUGAUGCAUCUGAUCCAUGGGACAUCAGUUGCAAGAUAUUAGCUGCACGAAGCAUGUAAACUACUCUCAUGGAAGUGUGCUAAAAAUCCCUCCUGCGAGUAGUCGACUCAGAGCCAACACUCACCCUAGCACAGACAGCUUUCAUCAAGCCAAGGUGUCACCUAUGUAAGAAGGCAUGUUCACCAGACCCCUCUGCAUACAUGGUGCCCAGUGGUCACGUCUCUUUGAGAAUUGCUUUCCUUAAUUAUAUCCUCUCCUUCUAUGCAAUCCCUGAGCUUGCAGAGCAUACAGCUAAUUUCCAUCUCCUGUAAGGUCCUGAGGUUCACCUACCCCAGUCCAGCUCACGGCCCUGCACCCAGCACAGCCUGGCAUCUGCCCGGGGUGCCCCUUGCUCCGGGGGGCUGGGGUUGGGGUGAGGUGUCACAUUGGGCACAUCUGGUGUGAGGAAUGGUGCUGUUGAACGGAGAGCAAAGGGCACUGAGCACUGCCCUGUCACCCUGCUGCGUCUGCAGUUGUGCUCUGGGAGCCGGGCAUCUCCUGCCAGCUGCUUCGUGGCACUUUUUGGCUACAACCACUGGUGAAAAGCACAGGAGAACUGUCCGGCUCCACGAGACAGCCACCUCUGCUACCAGCAGGUCUGGGGCAGCACUGCCAGCCGGCAGCUCUCAUUUUGUUAGUCUGCCUUUACCUGACAAGAAGGGCUGGGGACAGGCGCAGGCUCUCCAGCGUGCUGAAGCUGGAGCCUGUUCUGCUCGGAGGGUCUGAUCCUAUCAGCCUCCAGAGAAUCCGUGUCUGGCACUCCCAGUCUGUUGUUCAUAUUGGUUCGGUCUCAGCUGAGCUAUUUCUAACAACGAAGAACAUAUCUGGGAGAGUUACAGUUUGCUGUAAUCAUAUUUUUCCAGUUUUUCUCUGUGAUAAUUACUCCCAUAAAUAUCAUUGCUUCACCUCAGCUCAAUAGAGUGCUCUUGGUUUCUGCACUCAGCCUCAACCUUCCAAACUCUGACUGCAGUGGAAGGACAAUGAUAAUAUUUGUUAUUACUGCGACCACUCAAGCUGAGGAUCUGUCAGGGUUUCCAUUUCUGGUCUAUUUUCUGUGCUGUAUUAGCUGAUCAAAAAUUGUCAUCGGAAAUGAAAACUGGAAGAGCUAAUGCAUUAAAUUGUGCAUGUGUGUUUAAAUAAUAA